rnacentral:rRNA from 1 species
AUUGAACGCUGGCGGCAGGCUUAACACAUGCAAGUCGAGCGAGCGGCGGACGGGUGAGUUAUGUAUGGGAAACUGUCUGAUGGAUGGGGAUAACUAAUGGGAACGGUAGCCAAUAACGCAUACCAUCAGAUGUGUCCAGAUGGGAUUUGCUAGUAGGUGGGGUAAAGGCCCACCUGGGCGACGAUCCCUAGCUGGUCUGAGAGGAUGACCAGCCACACUGGAACUGAGACACGGUCCAGACUCCUACGGGAGGCAGCAGUGGGGAAUAUUGCACAAUGGGCGAAAGCCUGAUGCAGCCAUGCCGCGUGUGUGAAGAAGGCCUUCGGGUUGUAAAGCACUUUCAGCGAGGAGGCGUUACUCGCAGAAGAAGCACCGGCUAACUCCGUGCCAGCAGCCGCGGUAAUAC